ensembl:lncRNA novel transcript, antisense to ADIPOR2
CUUUUAUUUCUUUGUUUUGUUUUGUUUUUUUUAUUUUUUGGGGGGGGGCAGUGGAGUUAGUGGGGGAGACAAGGUCUUACUCUGUUGCCCAGACUAGAGUGCAAGGACAUGAUCACAGUUCAUUGCAACCUCAAACUCCUGGGUUCAAACAAUCUUCCUCUUCCCACCUCAGCCUUCCAAGUAGCUGGGACAACAGGGGUGCAAUAACAUGCCCAGCUAAUUUUUUAAUUUUUAGUAGAGACAAGGGAUCUUCAAAAAGUUCGUGUAACAUAUGUUUUAUGAAAACACUAUGCAUGAAUUUCAAUAAAAUUUUGCACCAAAAUAAGCUGGUACUAACUUGUUAUAACACAUCUGAACAAGAUGUAGUUUGAGGCACUAAGAAGGAUAAGACAUUGGUUUGAAAAGCACCCUAACAGAGCAACAUGAAUUCUGCUAAAAUUGAAGCAAGAACAAAACAUCAAAUUUAUGGUGAAGUUUGAGUGGAAGAAUGGUAAAAUCACUGGUGCUUUACGAAAACUUUAUAGAAACAAUGCCCCUAAGAAAUCAGCAGUUUAUAAAUAGGAUAAUUCAUUGUAAGAAGGGACAAGAUGAUAUUGAAGAUGAAGCCUGCAGUAGCAGACUAUCAACAUAAAUUUUUUAGGAAAAAAUUCAUCCCGUUUGUAACCUAAAUGUAGAGAUCCAAUGAUUAACAGCACAAACAACAGCCAAUACCAUAGACAUAUAAAUUCAUUCAGCGUAUACAAAUCUAACAAAAAAAUUUAAGUUGAACAAACUUUCUGCUUGAUGGGUACUAAAACCAUUGUGCUCAGAUCGGCCACAGACAAAAGCAGUGCCUUCAAUGCAAAUUUUAAACAAGUGGCAACAAGAGCAUGUGGAAUUUCUUUGAAAAAUUUUAACAGGAGAUGAAACAUGACUUUACCAGUGUGAUCCUGAAGACAAAGAAAAAAACAAAGCAAUGGGUACCAAGAGAUGAAAGUGAUCCAGUUAGAGCAAAAGCAAACCCAUCAAGAGCGAAGGUCAUGACAAAAGCUUUUUGGAAUGCUCAAGGAAUCUUGUUGACUUUCACCACCACAAGGUUCCUGCUCAUUCCUCUCAAAUGGGCAGUUUUGCUAGGGUUUCAAUGGGAAAUCACUGGGCAUCCACCAAACAGUGCUGAUUGGCUCCUUCUGACUUCUUUUUGUUUCCGAACCUUAAAAAAAAAUUUAAAGGGCACCCAUUUUUCUUUAAUUAAUAAUGCAAAAAAAAGACUGCACAUACUGAUAUGGUUACAGGACUUCUUUAGGAGUGGACUAAAUGGCUAGCAUUAUUGCUUACAAAAUUUUCUUGAACUCGAUAGAGCUUAUAUUGAGAAUAAAGUUUAUAUUUUGUAUUUUUAUCUUUUAAUUCCAUUUUUCCACAAACUUUUUGAGGUCCCCUCAUAUCUAUCCAAAGAUAAAUAUAAAAGGAUUUUUUAAUUGUAAGGUUAGCAAAUAAUGAAAAUAGUUCCGAACAUUAAAAUAGUGCUUUUAUUACCAGAAAGUAUAAGGCACCAUUUAAGAAUUUUCAAGUAGGUCAGAUGUGGUGACUCAUAAAAUUUCUUACACAAGGAAAAUUUUGAAUGUUUCCCCAAGAGCUAUAGUUUGCAAAUCCCUCUAGGACUGCUAUAUUCUCCCUUAAAAAGAGAGUAGCAUAACUAAACCCAGCAACUCCCAACUCUUCACAAACAAAAAAAUAAAAUCGAAAAGUAAAAAUAUUUGAUCCUGAAGUAAAGAAGUAAAUCCUGAAUCCUAAAGUAAAAGAAGGCUGCUAUCACACUUGCCUUGCUUUUGUAUUCAGUCAGCCCUCUAUAUCAAUGGGGUUCUGCAUCUGUGGAUUCAACCAACAACAGAUGGAAAUUAUCCAGAUUUUUAAAAUUACAUCUAUUCUGAACAUGUAGACUUUUUUCCCUAAACAAUACAGUAUAGUAACUAUUUACAGGGCAUUUACAUUGUAUUUGGUACUACAAGUAAUCUAGACAUGAUUUACAAUAUACAGGAAGAUGUGCUUAGGUUAUAUGCAAACGCUAUGCCAUUCUCUAUCAGGAACUUGAGCAUCCACAGAUUUUGGUAUCCAUGGGAGGUCCUGGAACCAAUCCCCCAUGGAUACCAAAGGAUGACUGUAUUCUACUCAGAACUUAGAAUUACUGUGCAUCUCUGAAUGCUCUCGCUCUUUCAAAAUUAGCCAUCUAGUGGUUACCUGCCUUAUGGAUGGGGAAUAAGGCUCAGAGGUAGAUUUCUAAACAUAGAAAAAAGUGGCAGCUGGGCACAGUGGCUCACGCCUGUAAUCCCAGCACUUUGGGAGGCCCAGGUGGGCAGAUGGCUUGAGCCCAGGAGUUCAAGACCAGCCUGGGCAACACGGCAAGACUCCGUCUCUACAAAAAAUGCAAAAAUAAGCCAGGCGUGGUGGUGUGCACCUGCAGUCCCAACUACUCAGGACACUGAGGUGGGAGGAUCGCUUGAGCUUAAGAGUUCAAAGCUGCAAGCAGCUGUGAUCGCACCACUGCACUUCAGCCUGCAGAUAGCAAGAUGCUAUCUUAAAAAAAGAGAGAGAGAAAAGUGACAAAAAACAGACCCUGGCUCUCACAAUUCUCUGACUCCUCAUUGGGAGUUCAACAAUCAUAAGAUUUUGUCUUUUUUUUUUUUUAACUUUUCAGUCAAGUCCAGCCUAGAGGUAAUAAAAUUCUUUUUGAAAGAGAUAUAGUUCAAAUUUUCAAGAAGACACUCUUAACCUAUUCCAUUCAUCUUUAGCUAACAUUAUUUUAUGUAACAUAUCUACUUUCACAAAGUCUGGUCCAUUUUUUAAAAUGAUUUACCUAAGAAAAAAGAACUCUAGCACUAAAGAAAAUCACUUAAUUGCAUGCAUAGUCAUUCCAUCAAACCUGACAUUUGUUAUUUUACAAUACUCUCCAGGGCUUUUUCAUUCCAAACAGGUUAUGUGUCCCAAAGGCAUUCUCUAUGGCAAACUAUGAAUUCCCCAUUGGUUGUCUAGUAGUUAUAAGCCUGUAAGUUGAACAUAAUUAAACCAUAGCAUUGUUUACCUGCCUUCUGUUUUCCUAUUUAAUGAUUGAAGGCUUUUUUCCUUUCCAAAUUAUAUUCUGUAACUUGCUGCUGCAGCAAUCAUCUAUCUGAUUUGCUAACACUAUAGGUUCACUUGCUACAGUGGACAGUAUUACACAACACUAUUGCCAAAGAUAUUCCUCCCUCUUCCUAAGCCCCCAUACUUAAUCCAUUAGUAAAUAAUACAUGGAUUUUAUCUCCCAAAAUAUCUCUCAAAUUAUUUCCCUUUCUUUUUCUCUUCCCUGCCAUGAUCUUAGCUAAACCACCAAUAUCUCUGACCUACAAUACUUUGAUAAUCCCCUAACAGGCCUCCCUAUCCUCUACUCUCAUACCUGCAGUUUCCUCUCUUUAUUUAGCAGCCAAAGUGCUCUUUCGAACAGAAAAAUCAUGUCACUC